GUCCUAUGGGAGGCACCAGUGGGGAAUAUUGGGCAAUGGAGGGAACUCUGACCCAGCGACGCCGCGUGCGGGAUGAAGGCCUUCGGGUUGUAAACCGCUUUCAGCAAGGAAGAAGCGAAAGUGACGGUACUUGCAGAAGAAGCACCGGCUAACUAUGUGCCAGCAGCCGCGGUAAUACAUAGGGUGCAAGCGUUGUCUGGAAUUAUUGGGCGUAAAGAGCUCGUAGGUGGUUCGUCACGUCGGAUGUGAAAAUCUGGGGCUUAACCCCAGACCUGCAUUCGAUACGGGCGAGCUAGAGUGUGGUAGGGGAGACUGGAAUUCCUGGUGUAGCGGUGGAAUGCGCAGAUAUCAGGAGGAACACCAAUGGCGAAGGCAGGUCUCUGGGCCAUUACUGACACUGAGGAGCGAAAGCGUGGGGAGCGAACAGGAUUAGAUACCC
rnacentral:rRNA from 1 species